GAGAGAGAGAGAGUGCGCGCGCGUGUGUGUGUGGGAUGGAGGGAUGGAGCCAAAGGAUUCAAGGGAUCAAGCAAGGGGUAAGGGUGGUUCAGAAAUAGAAGAUGUCACUUGGAUCUUUUUCCCUUCUUUCUUCUCCUAAAAAGGAGGAGCAGUGCGAGGUGACAGCGGCGAAAGAGAAAGACAGAGCAGAGGGGGGCGUUUCCCGAUCAUAUUUUUUCCAAUACACGGUCAGAAUUGUGUCACUGACUUGUGUGUGAAAGAAGACAAUGGCUGAAGUAGAGACAACGGGCUGGGCGUCCUUACUGAUUGGAUCAUUUGCGUGGGUGAUUGUUGGAUAAUCUACUCAAUUGGACCCAGACCGGCAGUAGUGUACUGUGAAGAAUGUAUGGUUAUAGUUCCUCUGUUACUCACAGUCCCCUUACCCCGCCAUCU